CGGUCCUUUGGACACGUUCUCGAGUAGAGUUUUCGAUCCGUCGGCUACAGGACGAACGCUGGCGGCACGCUUAACACAUGCAAGUCGAACGGACUUGAGAGGGCUUGCUCUCUUAAGUUAGUGGCGGACGGGUGAGUAACACGUGAGCAACCUGCCUUUAAGAGUGGGAUAACGGUCGGAAACGACCGCUAAUACCGCAUAACAUACACGAACCGCAUGGUUUGUGUAUCAAAGAUUUAUCGCUUAAAGAUGGGCUCGCGUCUGAUUAGCUUGUUGGUGAGGUAACGGCUCACCAAGGCGACGAUCAGUAGCCGUACUGAGAGGUAGAACAGCCACAUUGGGACUGAGACACGGCCCAGACUCCUACGGGAGGCAGCAGUGGGGAAUAUUGCACAAUGGAGGAAACUCUGAUGCAGCGAUGCCGCGUGAGGGAAGAAGGUUUUCGGAUUGUAAACCUCUGUCUUAAGGGACGAUAAUGACGGUACCUUAGGAGGAAGCUCCGGCUAACUACGUG
rnacentral:rRNA from 1 species